GGUGGAAUGCGCAGAUAUCAGGAGGAACACCAGUGGCGAAGGCGGUUCUCUGGGGCCUUUCCUGACGCUGAGGAGCGAAAGCGUGGGGAGCGAACAGGCUUAGAUACCCUGGUAGUCCACGCUGUAAACGGUGGGUACUAGGUGUGGGGUCCAUUCCACGGGUUCCGUGCCGUAGCUAACGCUUUAAGUACCCCGCCUGGGGAGUACGGCCGCAAGGCUAAAACUCAAAGGAAUUGACGGGGCCCCGCACAAGCGGCGGAGCAUGCGGAUUAAUUCGAUGCAACGCGUAGAACCUUACCUGGGUUUGACAUGGAUCGGGAGUGCUCAGAGAUGGGUGUGCCUCUUUUGGGGUCGGUUCACAGGUGGUGCAUGGCUGUCGUCAGCUCGUGUCGUGAGAUGUUGGGUUAAGUCCCGCAACGAGCGCAACCCUUGUUCACUGUUGCCAGCACGUUAUGGUGGGGACUCAGUGGAGACCGCCGGGGUCAACUCGGAGGAAGGUGGGGGUGACGUCAAGUCAUCAUGCCCCUUAUGUCCAGGGCUUCACGCAUGCUACAAUGGCUGGUACAGAGAGUGGCGAGCCUGUGAGGGUGAGCGAAUCUCGGAAAGCCGGUCUCAGUUCGGAUUGGGGUCUGCAACUCGACCUCAUGAAGUCGGAGUCGCUAGUAAUCGCAGAUCAGCAACGCUGCGGUGAAUACGUUCCCGGGGCUUGUACACACCGCCCGUCAAGUCAUGA
rnacentral:rRNA from 1 species